rnacentral:rRNA from 1 species
UACAGAGGGGGCAAGCGUUGUUCGGAAUUACUGGGCGUAAAGGGCGCGUAGGCGGCCUUCUAAGUCGAACGUGAAAUCCCCGGGCUCAACCCGGGAACUGCGUCCGAUACUGGAAGGCUUGAAUCCGGGAGAGGGAUGCGGAAUUCCAGGUGUAGCGGUGAAAUGCGUAGAUAUCAGGAAGAACACCUAUGGCGAAGGCAGCUCUCUGGGACGGUACUGACGCUGAGACGCGAAAGCGUGGGGAGCGAACAGG